AUCUCUUUUUACAUGCUACAUGACCCAAUUUGACCCCAAGACUCAUUGCUGCGUUGUGAAGUAAUGCGACGCAUGUGAGACUAAUCUUCCCUUCAGACUACUUUGUUUUCCUUUUGACAGUUUGUUUGUUUGUAACUUGGGGUAGUCUAGACUCAGGCUUGAAAAUAUAGCAGUGGGGGUUAUCUGACACCCCUUGUGUGCUUUUGUUUUGCUUGCCUCGGUUUCUUAGCAUAUUUUCGGGAAGCCACUAACGUGCUCUGCACUCAUGAGGCCAGCUCCUGUUUCCUUUUGGAAGGCGGGCCCAUGUUUGCUGGUCUGGCCCAAAAUACUCGUUGCCAGGCAACGCGUAGGCCUGUCCCAGUUAAGAGCGGGGCUGUUUACACCCCUUCUGGCUCCGCGGCCCAACAGCAUUGCAUAACUCUCAGUGUUUCGUCACCCCGCCGAAGGAAACCUGAGAUGUCUUUUACCCCUCCAGCCAACCACCUCUUUCUUUCUUACUGCAGCCUGCCUCAGCUUUCUUGCUGGGAUUGCAUUUUUUGUUUUUUGUUUUUGUUUUUUUUUUCAAACUCGCAGCUACCUCCAACUCAGCAAAACCAAAGUGAAACUGAGAGUGGGGUGUUUGUGAAAAGGCUGUGGUUCGAGCUCGACUUUCAGGUGUCCGCCGGCGUGUCAGAGGUCCAAUCAAAUCCUGCGAGCAUCCCAUCCCGUCCAGGUCCAUCUUCACCUCUCUCCCGUUUCCCGUCUCGGUCCCAGCGUGGCGCUCGGAGGAGAGCGAUCCUGUCAGGACACUCGCAAAAAUUUCACUAAGCAGUUGUGCUUCAUCAGCUGGAUUCGCACCAUGAUCCCCAUAACAGAGAGCGAGCGAGCGCUAGACGGCUCGUCUCGCUCCAUCUGUAGCUCGUCUUCGUGCUGCUCCUUUACAGCACCAGAAACUGAAGCAGCCACUGAGCAAAACAGAG